rnacentral:rRNA from 1 species
CCCAGACUCCUACGGGAGGCAGCAGUGAGGAAUAUUGGUCAAUGGGCGAAAGCCUGAUGCAGCAACGCCGCGUGAAGGAAGAAGGCUUUCGGGUUGUAAACUUCUUUUAAGAGGGAAGAGUAGAAGACGGUACCUCUUGAAUAAGCCACGGCUAACUACGUGCCAGCAGCCGCGGUAAUACGUAGGUGGCAAGCGUUGUCCGGAUUUACUGGGUGUAAAGGGCGUGUAGCCGGGCCGGCAAGUCAGAUGUGAAAUCCCAAGGCUCAACCUUGGAACUGCAUUUGAAACUGUUGGUCUUGAGUAUCGGAGAGGCAGGCGGAAUUCCUAGUGUAGCGGUGAAAUGCGUAGAUAUUAGGAGGAACACCAGUGGCGAAGGCGGUCUGCUGGACAGCAACUGACGGUGAGGCGCGAAAGCGUGGGGAGCAAACAGGAUUAGAUCCCCCAGUA